rnacentral:rRNA from 1 species
UACGUAGGGACCAAGCGUUGUUCGGAUUUAUUGGGCGUAAAGAGCUCGUAGGCGGCUUGUCGCGUCGACUGUGAAAACUCGGGGCUCAACUCCGAGCUUGCAGUCGAUACGGGCAGGCUAGAGUUCGGUAGGGGAGACUGGAAUUCCUGGUGUAGCGGUGAAAUGCGCAGAUAUCAGGAGGAACACCGGUGGCGAAGGCGGGUCUCUGGGCCGAUACUGACGCUGAGGAGCGAAAGCGUGGGGAGCGAACAGG